UUGAGCCGUGUGCGGGGCCAACCCGCCCGCACGGUUCUUAGGGGGCGGCGGCGCGGCAACGCGCCGCCGCUACCCGAC
rfam:Actinobacteria bacterium OK006 ctg82, whole genome shotgun sequence.